rnacentral:rRNA from 1 species
GAUGAACGCUGGCGGCGUGCCUAAUACAUGCAAGUCGAGCGAACGGACGAGAAGCUUGCUUCUCUGAUGUUAGCGGCGGACGGGUGAGUAACACGUGGAUAACCUACCUAUAAGACUGGGAUAACUUCGGGAAACCGGAGCUAAUACCGGAUAAUAUUUUGAACCGCAUGGUUCAAAAGUGAAAGACGGUCUUGCUGUCACUUAUAGAUGGAUCCGCGCUGCAUUAGCUAGUUGGUAAGGUAACGGCUUACCAAGGCAACGAUGCAUAGCCGACCUGAGAGGGUGAUCGGCCACACUGGAACUGAGACACGGUCCAGACUCCUACGGGAGGCAGCAGUAGGGAAUCUUCCGCAAUGGGCGAAAGCCUGACGGAGCAACGCCGCGUGAGUGAUGAAGGUCUUCGGAUCGUAAAACUCUGUUAUUAGGGAAGAACAUAUGUGUAAGUAACUGUGCACAUCUUGACGGUACCUAAUCAGAAAGCCACGGCUAACUACAUG